rnacentral:rRNA from 1 species
GUGAACGCUGGCGGUAGGCCUAACCCAUGCAAGUCGAACGGCAGCACAGUAAGAGCUUGCUCUUACGGGUGGCGAGUGGCGGACGGGUGAGGAAUACAUCGGAAUCUACUUUUUCGUGGGGGAUAACGUAGGGAAACUUACGCUAAUACCGCAUACGACCUACGGGUGAAAGCAGGGGAUCUUGGGACCUUGCGCGAUUGAAUGAGCCGAUGUCGGAUUAGCUAGUUGGCGGGGUAAAGGCCCACCAAGGCGACGAUCCGUAGCUGGUCUGAGAGGAUGAUCAGCCACACUGGAACUGAGACACGGUCCAGACUCCUACGGGAGGCAGCAGUGGGGAAUAUUGGACAAUGGGCGCAAGCCUGAUCCAGCCAUACCGCGUGGGUGAAGAAGGCCUUCGGGUUGUAAAGCCCUUUUGUUGGGAAAGAAAAGCAGCAGGUUAAUACCCCGCUGUUCUGACGGUACCCAAAGAAUAAGCACCGGCUAACUUCGUG